rnacentral:rRNA from 1 species
UGGGUGACCUGCCCUAAAGUGAGGGAUACCGGCGAGAAAUUGCCGACAAGCCCGCAUGAGCUCUGUUUGGUAGAGCGAACAGAGGAAAGGUUUCCGUAAGGGAGCUGCUUUGGGAUGGGCCUGUGGCCGAUUAGCUAGUUGGUGGGGUAAGAGCCUACCAAGGCGACGAUCGGUAGCUGGUCUGAGAGGACGAUCAGCCACACUGGGAUUGAGAACGGCCCAG